rnacentral:rRNA from 1 species
CUCGUAGGUGGCCAACUAAGUCAGACGUGAAAUCCCUCGGCUUAACCGGGGAACUGCGUCUGAUACUGGUUGGCUUGAGUUUGGGAGAGGGACGCGGAAUUCCAGGUGUAGCGGUGAAAUGCGUAGAUAUCUGGAGGAACACCGGUGGCGAAGGCGGCGUCCUGGACCAACACUGACACUGAUGAGCGAAAGCCAGGGGAGCAAACG